UAGAGAUAGAGCCUUCCCCUUCGGGGGACAAAGUGACAGGUGGUGCAUGGUUGUCGUCAGCUCGUGUCGUGAGAAGUUGGGUGAAGGCACGGAACGAGCGCAACCCUUAAAGGUAGUGAGCAGCAUGUAGUUGGGCACUCUAAGUAGACUGCCGGUGACAAACCGGAGGAAGGUGGGGAUGACGGCAAAUAAUCAUGCCCCUUAUGAUUUGGGC
rnacentral:rRNA from 1 species